UCAGGAUGAACGCUAGCGAUAGGCCUAACACAUGCAAGUCGAGGGGCAGCGAUGGUAGCAAUACCAGUCGGCGACCGGCGGAUGGGUGAGUAACACGUAUGCAACCUGCCUUCAACAUUGGAAUAACCCGUUGAAAGACGGACUAAUGCCUUAUAACACAGGGGCGCCGCAUGGCGAUAUUUGUUAAAGAUUUUAUCGGUUGAAGAUGGGCAUGCGCAUGAUUAGUUAGUUGGUAAGGUAACGGCUUACCAAGACAACGAUCAUUAGGGGUUCUGAGAGGAAGGUCCCCCACACUGGUACUGAGACACGGACCAGACUCCUACGGGAGGCAGCAGUGAGGAAUAUUGGUCAAUGAGCGAGAGCUUGAACCAGCCACGUCGCGUGCAGGAAGAAUGUCUUAUGGAUUGUAAACUGCUUUUUCGGUAGAGUAAUGUGCGUCACGUGUGACGUAUUGCAAGUAUACCGAGAAUAAGGAUCGGCUAACUCCGUGCCAGCAGCCGCGGUAAUACGGAGGAUCCGAGCGUUAUCCGGAUUUAUUGGGUUUAAAGGGUACGUAGGCGGGAUGAUAAGUCAGCGGUGAAAUUUUGCAGCUUAACUGUAAGCUUGCCGUUGAAACUAUUA
rnacentral:rRNA from 1 species